rnacentral:lncRNA from 12 species
GGGCUUUCCAAGCCUGCCUUGUGCAGUAUUCCUAAUUUCCAGGUGCAGUGAAUGAAGACAGCCACCACCCCGUCCCGGUGGGCAGUCGCAGGGAAGCCCGGCCGCCUUGCACUGUCUCAGUGAAAGUUUCACCGCUCUCGCUCAACUGUGCUGCGAGUUUUCCAGUGAUCCGAAGGAAAAACUACCAAGGCCUGAAGGCGUGCAGCAGCCCGACAAAGAGGCUGCAGAGGCCAGUCAGGAGGACCAUUUACAGUGUGAAUGUGUAAAGGCACCCCUAGGCAAAAUGAAAGGAGAAAUGUGGAAGUCCUGCCUAGCGUGGUUGCUACCUGCUGAUGAUCAAUCCGUGUGCUUGCCUGCUACGUGUUGUGGAAUUAUUGCAGAAGGAAGAGGUAACUGCAGAAGAGCUUGGAGUUGAAGAGCAGAGGGAUGCAGUGGCCUGUAAGCCAGGCACAGGAUAGUGAGCACUAUAGAAGUGAUGUAAAGCCUGAACGGCUUUCUGAAGCAAGGAGGUGACAAGCAGAGGCAGAAGAACACCCAGCAGCUCAUGCCAGGGAAGCCUCAGCCUAGGUUAAGCAACUCAGCCUGUUCCCUCCACGUUUGCUACUCCUUUCUGCUUGAUUAGCAAAUUCUUUCCCCAGAAGGAACUGACACAUGUUCCUCCCUGCCCUGCCCCCCUGAACAUGCCUUCAGGGAAAAUGCAGAUUUUCAGCGAAAAUGUUUAGGCUUUUAGUUACCUUUCCACUUCGGAUGUAAUUUUCAGCAUACCAUUCCAAUUAGCUAAUGCCUCAUACCCCGUGGAGCCGC